CUCUAUGGGGCAGCUAUGGGUCGCUAUGGGGUUGCUAUGGGGCGGCUAUGGGUCGCAAUGGGGCGGCUAUGGGGUCGCUGUGGGUCGCUAUGGGGCGCUAAGGGGCAGCUAUGGGGUCACUAUGGCGUCUCUAUGGGGCGGCUGUGGGGUCGCUAUGGGGUGCAGUGGGGUUGCUAUGGGGCGGCUAUGGGGAGCUAUGGGGUCUCUGUGGGUGGCUGUGGGGCGCUAUGGGGUGGCUAUGGGGUCUCUGUGGGUCUCUAUGGGGUGGCUGUGGGGCAGCUAUGGGUCGCUGUGGGGUGCAAUGGGGUUGGCUAUAGGGCAGCUAUGGGGCGGCUGUGGGGUGGCUAUGGGUCGCAAUGGGGGGCUAUGGUGUAUCUAUGGGGUGGCUAUGGGGUCGCUGUGGGUCACUGUGGGGUGGCUCUGGGUCGCUAUGGGGCGGCAAUGGGUGUCUGUGGGGUGGCUAUGGGGUGCAAUGUGGUCGCUAUGGGUGGCUAUGGGGCUGCUGUGGGGUCUUUAUGGGUGGCUAUGGGGUGGCUAUGGGUCUCUAUGGGGUGCUGUGGGGUGGCUAUGGGUCUCUAUGGAGCGGUUAUGGGGUCGCUGUGGGGCGCUAUGGGGCAGCUAUGGGGCGCAAAUGGGGU
rnacentral:lncRNA from 1 species